UUCCCAGUGAUGAUCCUGAGACCUACCGAUAGGAAGUGCCGUUUCUCUCAUCUGCAGGUGUCCAUCCUUAGAGCAUAACCUUUGUGGUUUGGUCUGGAGUGGAGUUCCCAUCUGCAGAUGUUUGAUUCAGAUGUGGUGUGUGAUUUAAAUCGGGUCUCUGAGGGAU